rnacentral:lncRNA from 1 species
CGUAGGCCUUGGUAUCAAUGGGUGGAGAUUUGUGGUCAUGUGAAUGAUUUGUGUCUUGUGAGUGCCUGAGAAGAACAAAAACAAAACAAGGUAGCAAAACAUAAUUGCGUGGAUAGAAACUGGUAGGAGAUGUCGAAUAAACUGGGAUCGAGUGAUCAUCUGAAGUAUAUGCCCAGACAUGUUACACUACUCCUUACAGGGGGGUGUUUCUUCUUCAAGUAAAACGGUUUGAGCAAAAUACCAAUAAGUAAUGGCUGCUUGAGCUUGGCCAAACCUAACACAGUACUGGAAAAGCUUUGCCUUGCUGGAGCUCAAUCAUAGCAAACACUGCACCUUUUCUAACAUGUGAGAAUGACUGAACACACUGCAGGGUAAGAAUGCAUGUGUCCAAUGAGACCUGGGUGAUGAACCAAGAUCCUGUCUGUGAAGCUAAGUGAAAUCUGAGGAAGCAGAUCGACAGCUGUUAUGAGCCUACAACUGCAGACAUGGCUGAAGCUGUGAGACCAAAGAAAUCCAAAGUGAAGCAGAGUGGGAAAUCUCAGGAAAAAAAGCAAAAGCCAAGUGAAGUCUUAAAAAUUGUGGGAAAAACUGGUGCCCCAGACUGCCAGGAAUCCUUUCCUGUUCCUCUGAACAAAGCUUUGCAGCAUAGGAACAAAGAUGACCUGCAGCCGAGCCAUGAGUUCACCGACAUCCCUCUGAGCAACGCAGCCGAGGGGCAAGUGAAAGGGGAGGAUGAUCUUCCAUGCACAGUGCCGUCAUUAUUGAGCCCAGAUACCAGAAAAAAAGAGAUUGAGAGAAGGGAGGCAGGGAUCAGCUGUGAAGGUGCUGUAAGAGCUGACACCAGGGGCCAGGAAAAUGCUGAUGAGGAAGGACAGGUUGUCCAGGAUGAGAAGGACCAGAGAGAUAAAGAUUUCUGCAAUGAUGGCACUCAAAAGCAUCAAGUCUUCAGAACAUGGACUAAAGACCGUAAUUCCAAAUGUUUGGACAUAGAUGCCCAGCCUUGCCAAGCUGGAAGAGGUCAGGAAGCCAGCAGUGCACUAGUUUCCUCCAUGUGUCC